UCUCUCGUAGUCUAGUGGCUAAGACUCUGAGCUCCCAAUGCAGGAGACCCAAGUUCAAUCCCUGGUCAGGGAA
rnacentral:tRNA from 1 species